rnacentral:rRNA from 1 species
GAUGAACGCUGGCGGCGUGCUUAACACAUGCAAGUCGAACGGAAAGGCUCCUGCUUGCAGGGGUACUCGAGUGGCGAACGGGUGAGUAACACGUGGGUGAUCUGCCCUGCACUUCGGGAUAAGCCUGGGAAACUGGGUCUAAUACCGGAUAGGACGAUGGUUUGGAUGCCAUUGUGGAAAGUUUUUUCGGUGUGGGAUGAGUUCGCGGCCUAUCAGCUUGUUGGUGGGGUAAUGGCCUACUAAGGCGUCGACGGGUAGCCGGCCUGAGAGGGUGUACGGCCACAUGGGGACUGAGAGACGGACCAGACUCCUACGGGAGGCAGCAGGGGAGAAUAUUGCACAAUGGGCGCAAGCCUGAUGCAGCGACGCCGCGUGGGGGAUGACGGCCUUCGGGUUGUAAACACCUUUCGCUAGGGACGAAGCGCAAGUGACGGUACCUGGAGAAGAAGCACCGGCUAACUACGUG